CAGUUUCUAUUAUUGCUAUUUCCAAAGUUGGACAAAUUUGCAGUGAUCUCUGAGGGAGAAAUAGGGGUAAGGUGGGGCAAGAGACAGCACGUGCAAAGGCCCUGGGGUAGGAUGUGGAACUGAAAGUGAAGAGUAUGGCAUAAGGCAGGACCAGAGAUGGGGACUGGGGCCUGAGAGCCAGGAGAAGUCAGCGUUGGGGGAUGGACGGAUCCUCUGUGACUUCUCCUGGCCACCUUGCUCAAGGGGAGGGGGGAAGAGAGUCAGAAUAUUUAACAGCUGGCCUGACGUGGAUGCUGCCAUGCUGGGGCCUGCACUUUUUGCCAGGUGUUAGCUGUUUAGUGGUGGGUUGUGGCGGGAACUCAAAGGCACUGGGGCGGGGGUGUCGUGAGGUGCUCAGGCCUGACAUUCUGGGAUAGCCAUAGUGGGCACACAGCCAGUGCCAGCCCUGCCCCAGCACCCUCUCUUGGGCUCCCUGUACCAUCUCCAACCCCUUGGGCAGACACCCUCCUGUCCUCCAAACUCCCCCUUCCAGGAAGCCCACCCAGAUUGGACGGGGGGAGCUGGAGGGGGCCUCCCUGAGGUGAGGCAUGCUCCCUGCCCACAGGCAACUCCAACCUGGUCUACGCCAUCAUCCGCAAGCGCAGCAUCUUCCACCAGCUGGCCAACCUGCCCACGGACCCGCCCACCAUUCACAAGGCCCUGCAGCGGCGCCGGCGGACACCCGAGCCCUUGUCUCGCACCGGCUCCCAGGAGGGCACCUCCAUGGAGGGCUCCCGCCCCGCUGCCCCUGCAGAGCCAGGCACCCUUAAGACCAGUCUGGUGGCUACUCCAGGCAUUGACAAGCUGACCGAGAAGUCCCAGGUGUCAGAGGAUGGCACCUUGCGGUCCCUGGAACCUGAGCCCCAGCAGAGCUUGGAGGAUGGCAGCCCAGCCAAGGGGGAGCCCAGCCAGGCGUGGAGGGAGCAGCGGCGACCGUCCACCUCAUCAGUCAGUGGACAGUGGAGCCCAGCGCCAGAGUGGGUCCUCUCCUGGAAGUCGAAGCUGCCGCUGCAGACCAUCAUGAGGCUGCUGCAGGUGCUGGUUCCGCAGGUGGAGAAGAUCUGCAUCGACAAGGGCCUGACGGAUGAGUCUGAGAUCCUGCGGUUCCUGCAGCAUGGCACCCUGGUGGGGCUGCUGCCCGUGCCCCACCCCAUCCUCAUCCGCAAGUACCAGGCCAACUCGGGCACUGCCAUGUGGUUCCGCACCUACAUGUGGGGCGUCAUCUAUCUGAGGAAUGUGGACCCCCCUGUCUGGUACGACACCGACGUGAAGCUGUUUGAGAUACAGCGGGUGUGAGGAUGAAGCCGGCGAGGGGCUCAGUCUAGGGGAAGGCAGGGCCCUGGUCCCUGAGGCUUCCCCCAUCCACCAUUCUGAGCUUUAAAUUACCACGAUCAGGGCCUGGAACAGGCAGAGUGGCCCUGAGUGUCAGGCCCUAGAGACCCCUCUGGCCAGGACAAUGUGGACCGGCUCAGAUCCCCCUCAACCCCUCGGCUGGACUCACAGGAGCCCCAUCUCCGGGGGCUAUGCCCCCACCAGAGACCACUGCCCCCAACACUCGGACUCCCCCUUUAAGACCUGGCUCAGUGCUGGCCCCUCAGUGCCCACCCACUCCUGUGCUACCCAGCCCCAGAGGCAGAAGCCACUGGGUCACUGUGCCCUAAGGGGUUUGACCAGGGAACCACGGGCUGGGCUGCCCCUUGAGGUGCCUGGGCAGGGUAAGGGGGUGCUUCCAGCCUCCUAACCCAAAGCCAGCUGUUCCAGGCUCCAGGGGAAAAAGGUGUGGCCAGGCUGCUCCUCGAGGAGGCUGGGAGCUGGCCGACUGCAAAAGCCAGACUGGGGCACCUCCCGUAUCCUUGGGGCAUGGUGUGGGGUGGUGAGGGUCUCCUGCUAUAUUCUUCUGGGUCCGUGGAAAUAGCCUGGCUCCCUCUUACCCAGUAAUGAGGGGCAGGGAAGGGAACUGGGAGGCAGCCGUUUAGUCCUCCCUGCCCUGCCCACUGCCUGGAUGGGGCGAUGCCACCCCUCAUCCUUCACCCAGCUCUGGCCUCUGGGUCCCACCCCCAGCCCCCAUGUCAGAACAAUCUUUGCUCUGUACAAUUGGCCUCUUUACAAUAAAACCUCCUGCUCCGC
rnacentral:sRNA from 1 species